UUGGUUUAAUAAUUCAAGUGGUGAAACUUGAUUGAAUCCGAAAUGAUUUUUUAUUAAAGUGAAUAAUGACAUGAAAAUUUAAAAUUAAAGAAAUUAAUUUAUGAAAUGAAAAAUAAAAAAAUAUAAAAUGAAAAGAAAAAUCAUCCUGAUGUUACUUUACACCCCUCCAACCAACACCGCGUCAACAUCUCUCUCACUCAUCUCCCACCAUCAACCCACAUCACAAAAAUAUCUUCUCCAUCCUCUUCCAUAACUCCAAACAUCAUCUUCGCCGUCCUC
rnacentral:lncRNA from 1 species